rnacentral:lncRNA from 1 species
UCAACCUUUCAUUUUUAUUUCUAUAAAAGUUUAGUGAUAUUUAUAUAUGUCCCUCUGAUUUGUUAUUGUUAGAGUAUUGCUUAUUUUUUAACAACAGUUAAGUGAAAUGAUAUUUUUGCUCUUACAAAUAUAUUCUUUCAAAAGUCCCAGCUAUUAGAAUUAUGUAAAAAUGUCCUCCCAAAAAACUAUUUACUCAAUAAUAUAAGAGGGGUAAAAAAAUCAAUUUAACUCAUUCACUAAUCAGGAUUAAUAUUUUACCUAUGGUUUACUAUAUUUUUCUAAUAGAUCCUAACAGCCGGAAUAUAUUUGAAAACUUUAUAGGAAUAUAUCUGCUAUUCGAUAUAUUUAUAGAGAGCUAUAUGUAAUUAAACCUUAAACUAAUU